UUUAGUUAUGAUAUUUGUGAGAAAACAGUAAUACUGAACAUUAACCAUGCUCUAAUAUAGCCAUUAUAUGCAUCUUUUGACGAUUUUAAAACCUAAAAAUUAUAAAGCGUUGCAACGCGAAACGAUUGAAUAAUUUGGAGAGUUCUGUUUUUGUCGUUAAAUUUUGUGAAACUACGAAGAUUGCUUAUAUAAGGUAUAAAAUACGUCAAGAAUGUGUACCCGGCGGAAUAGCUCAGUAUGCUAAAGCGUUUUUACUUCAGGACUCUGGCAGGACUCCAGGGGUCACUGGUUCGAAACCUGCUCCGGGCAAUGUUCUUUUCCUUUUUAUACGCCCGUAUAAAAUACGGGACGUAUUAUGUGAAACCCCUUGGCGGGCGGGCGGGCGGGCGGCGGGCGGAAGGCAUCACUUUGUCCGGACUCUAAUUCAAAUUGUAUUCAUCCGAUCUUCACCAAACUUGGUCAGCAGUUGCAUCUAGUUGAUAUCUAGGCCAAGUUCGAAUAUGGGUCAUGCCGGGUCAAAAACUAGGUCAUAGGGUCAAUAAGUGCAUUUUCAAAGGGGCCACUUUGUCCGGACUCUAUUUCAAAUUGUAUUCAUCCGAUCUUCACCAAACUUGGUCAGCAGUUGCAUCUAGUUGAUAUAUAGGCCAAGUUCGAAUAUGGGUCAUGCCGGGUCAAAAACUAGGUCAUAGGGUCAAUUAGUGCAUUUUCAACGGCGCCACUUUGUCCGGACUCUAAUUCAAAUUGUAUUCAUCCGAUCUUCACCAAACUUGGUCAGUAGUUGCAUCUAGUUGAUAUCUAGGCCAAGUUCGAAUAUGGGUCAUGCCAGGUAAAAAACUAGGUCAUAGGGUCAAUUAGUCCAUUUUCAACAGCGCCACUUUGUCUGGACUCUUAUUCAAAUUGUAUUCAUCCGAUCUUUACCAAACUUGGUUAGUAGUUGCAUCUAGUUGAUAUCUAGGUCAAGUUCGAAUAUGGGUCAUGUCGGGUCAAGAACUAGGUCAUAGGGUCAAUUAGUGCAUUUUCAACGGCGCCACUUUGUCCGGACUCUAAUUCAAAUUGUAUUCAUCCGAAACUUUUAAACAACUUUUUAUCCUGCGUCAAAGUGGUAUGGGGGUAUAAGUCACAUUCAGUGACAAAGCUCUAGUUCAAGUUGAAUUCACCAAACUUGGUCAGAGGUAGUAUAUAGAUUAUAUAUCAGUCAGGUCUGAUUGGAGACAUGCAACCGAUUAACACAUGCAAUAUUUUUAUGCAAUAUUUUUAUCCAGUUUUAUUUUGCGAUAUUUUCAUCGGGUUUAUUUUUUUCGCGAUUUUUGAAACGAGUUAUUUUUAACAACAUGUUUAUUGGUAAGUUUCAUU